ACUGAACGCUGGCGGCAGGCUUAACACAUGCAAGUCGAGCGGAGAGAGGUAGCUUGCUACUGAUCUUAGCGGCGGACGGGUGAGUAAUGCUUAGGAAUCUGCCUAUUAGUGGGGGACAGCAUUUCGAAAGGAAUGCUAAUACCGCAUACGUCCUACGGGAGAAAGCAGGGGAUCUUCGGACCUUGCGCUGAUAGAUGAGCCUAAGUCGGAUUAGCUAGUUGGUGGGGUAAAGGCCUACCAAGGCGACGAUCUGUAGCGGGUCUGAGAGGAUGAUCCGCCACACUGGGACUGAGACACGGCCCAGACUCCUACGGGAGGCAGCAGUGGGGAAUAUUGGACAAUGGGCGCAAGCCUGAUCCAGCCAUGCCGCGUGUGUGAAGAAGGCCUUAUGGUUGUAAAGCACUUUAAGCGAGGAGGAGGCUACUUUAGAUAAUACCUAGAGAUAGUGGACGUUACUCGCAGAAUAAGCACCGGCUAACUCUGUGCCAGCAGCCGCGGUAACAC
rnacentral:rRNA from 1 species